rnacentral:rRNA from 1 species
GACGAACCGUGCGAACGUUGUUCGGAAUCACUGGGCUUAAAGGGCGCGUAGGCGGGCGACCGAGUCCGGGGUGAAAGCCUCCGGCUUAACCGGAGAAGUGCCUGGGAUACUGGUCGUCUGGAGGGAGGUAGGGGCAGCUGGAACUUCCGGUGGAGCGGUGAAAUGCGUUGAUAUCGGAAGGAACGCCGGUGGCGAAAGCGAGCUGCUGGACCUCUUCUGACGCUGAGGCGCGAAAGCCAGGGGAGCAAACGGG